rnacentral:rRNA from 1 species
UCCAAAAACAUCGCCUCUUGAUUAAACAUAAGAGGUCCAGCCUGCCCAGUGACAUAGUUUAACGGCCGCGGUACCCUAACCGUGCGAAGGUAGCAUAAUCACUUGUUCUUUAAAUAGGGACUCGUAUCAACGGCAUCACGAGGGCUAUACUGUCUCCUUUCUCCAAUCAAUGAAACUGAUCUCCCCGUGAAGAAGCGGGGAUUAACCUAUAAGACGAGAAGACCCCAUGGAGCUUCAAACUCAACAUAUACCUCUACGCACUUAAACCACUUUAGCCCAAGAGACCUCUAUGUUAGUUUUGGGUUGGGGGGACCGCGGAGUAAAAAUUAACCUCCACGACAAACGGGCUUUAUGCCCUUAUCCACGAACCACAGCUCUAAGAAUCAAUAAACUGAUGUUUAUGACCCGAUUAUUCGAUCAACGAACCAAGUUACCCUGGGGAUAACAGCGCAAUCUACUUCAAGAGCCCCUAUCGACAAGUAGGUUUACGACCUCGAUGUUGGAUCAGGGUAUCCUAGUGGUGCAGCCGCUACUAAUGGUUCGUUUGUUCAACGAUUAAAACCCUACGUGAUCUGAGUCCCAAACCGGA